rnacentral:rRNA from 1 species
CGUAGGCAGCAAGCGUUGUUCGGAGUUACUGGGCGUAAAGAGUGCGUAGGCGGUGCUCUAAGUUUGGUGUGAAAUCUCCCGGCUCAACUGGGAGGGUGCGCCGAAAACUGGAGUGCUUGAGUGUGGGAGAGGCAAGCGGAAUUCCUGGUGUAGCGGUGAAAUGCGUAGAUAUCAGGAGGAACACCUGUGGUGUAGACAGCUUGCUGGACCAUAACUGACGCUGAGGCACGAAAGCGUGGGUAGCAAACAGGAUUAGAUACCCUGGUAGUCCACGCCCUAAACGAUGCAUACUUGGUGUGAGCCAUUCAUUUGGUUCGUGCCGGAGCUAACGCGUUAAGUAUGCCGCCUGGGGAGUACGGUCGCAAGGCUG